rnacentral:rRNA from 1 species
CAGCCGCCGCGGUAAUACGUAGGGUGCAAGCGUUAAUCGGAAUUGCUGGGCGUAAAGCGUGCGCAGGCGGUUAUAUAAGACAGAUGUGAAAUCCCCGGGCUCAACCUGGGAACUGCAUUUGUGACUGUAUAGCUAGAGUACGGCAGAGGGGGAUGGAAUUCCGCGUGUAGCAGUGAAAUGCGUAGAUAUGCGGAGGAACACCGAUGGCGAAGGCAAUCCCCUGGGCCUGUACUGACGCUCAUGCACGAAAGCGUGGGGAGCAAACAGGAUUAGAUACCCGUGUAGUCCCUGUCUCUUAUAC